UACGGAGGGAGCUAGCGUUGUUCGGAAUUACUGGGCGUAAAGCGCGCGUAGGCGGCUUUGCAAGUCGGGUGUGAAAUCCCCAAGCUUAACUUGGGAACUGCAUUCGAGACUGCAUUGCUAGAGUAUGGGAGAGGGAAGUGGAAUUUCCGGUGUAGCGGUGAAAUGCGUAGAUAUCGGAAGGAACAUCAGUGGCGAAAGCGACUUCCUGGACCAAUACUGACGCUCAUGUGCGAAAGCGUGGGGAGCAAACAGG
rnacentral:rRNA from 1 species